UCGAGCGGAGAGAGGUAGCUUGCUACUGAUCUUAGCGGCGGACGGGUGAGUAAUGCUUAGGAAUCUGCCUAUUAGUGGGGGACAACAUUUCGAAAGGAAUGCUAAUACCGCAUACGUCCUACGGGAGAAAGCAGGGGAUCUUCGGACCUUGCGCUAAUAGAUGAGCCUAAGUCGGAUUAGCUAGUUGGUGGGGUAAAGGCCUACCAAGGCGACGAUCUGUAGCGGGUCUGAGAGGAUGAUCCGCCACACUGGGACUGAGACACGGCCCAGACUCCUACGGGAGGCAGCAGUGGGGAAUAUUGGACAAUGGGCGCAAGCCUGAUCCAGCCAUGCCGCGUGUGUGAAGAAGGCCUUAUGGUUGUAAAGCACUUUAAGCGAGGAGGAGGCUACUUUAGUUAAUACCUAGAGAUAGUGGACGUUACUCGCAGAAUAAGCACCGGCUAACUCUGUGCCAGCAGCCGCGGUAAUACAGAGGGUGCAAGCGUUAAUCGGAUUUACUGGGCGUAAAGCGCGCGUAGGCGGCUAAUUAAGUCAAAUGUGAAAUCCCCGAGCUUAACUUGGGAAUUGCAUUCGAUACUGGUUAGCUAGAGUGUGGGAGAGGAUGGUAGAAUUCCAGGUGUAGCGGUGAAAUGCGUAGAGAUCUGGAGGAAUACCGAUGGCGAAGGCAGCCAUCUGGCCUAACACUGACGCUGAGGUGCGAAAGCAUGGGGAGCAAACAGGAUUAGAUACCCUGGUAGUCCAUGCCGUAAACGAUGUCUACUAGCCGUUGGGGCCUUUGAGGCUUUAGUGGCGCAGCUAACGCGAUAAGUAGACCGCCUGGGGAGUACGGUCGCAAGACUAAAACUCAAAUGAAUUGACGGGGGCCCGCACAAGCGGUGGA
rnacentral:rRNA from 1 species